UGUUGCAGGGUAUCCAUGCAUCUCUGUGCCAUGUCUGUCGUAGCAUCGCUGGUAAAAUGUGCAGACAAGGGACUCUCGGAUCUUUUGACACUGGAGCAACUUAAAUCCGUCGAUUGCAUCGCUGGUAAAAUGUGCAGACGAGGGACUCUCGGAUCUUUUGACACUGGAGCAACUUAAAUCCGUCGAUUGCUAAUGGACGCCGCACGGCUUUCCUUUCUGCCGCCGCCUUUCUACACCGGCACUUUUUGAACUCACCUGACGCCAAAGUGACCCGGCGGGCCACGUUAACGAGAGAUACACAACGCAGACGCACAACGGCGGCGGAAAGAGUCCAUUUGAGGCUCGCCGUAAUGGCCACUGAGAGCCCCUCGACGGCGUUGUCGGCGCAGGGGCAUCGAACAACGGCUGAUAACGCGCACUUGUGGAGGGGACAAGUGGCGCCUGAUGAUGAUAGCGACGGUGAGCAGAUAGCGACAACAACUUGUCAUGUUUUUCCGGACGCCAUGGCACCUGAUAUCGUUUCAAAGGACACAGGACUCCCCACUUGGAUGGCACCGGGCAAUGCAUGAUGGGAAAACACUGUGGAAAACAACUUGACCAUAUUUGGUAACGUGCUUUAAAACCAGCUGAUAAUGGAAUAAAUAGCCGCUUCAAACCAACAUGGCCCUCCUGUGCAUCUUAAAAUGUAGGUUUAUUACAUUUUAGGAAUGGCAAUGGAAGCGGGAUCUAAUUCUAAAUUUU